rnacentral:rRNA from 1 species
UACAGAGACUGCAAGCGUUAUUCGGAUUCACUGGGCGUAAAGGGUGCGUAGGCGGCCGGGUAAGUCUGAUGUGAAAUCCCGCAGCUCAACUGCGGAACGGCAUUGGAUACUAUUCGGCUCGAGGAGUGGAGGGGAGACUGGAAUACUUGGUGUAGCAGUGAAAUGCGUAGAUAUCAAGUGGAACACCAGUGGCGAAGGCGAGUCUCUGGACACUUCCUGACGCUGAGGCACGAAAGCCAGGGGAGCAAACGGG